CAGCGUCUUCCGCCCGCCCCGCCCCUUCCGGGCCAUGUGUAGGAGCCCAGGUGCGUGUCAGCCCUGUGCACGCGCCCUCUCUCCGGCUUCCCCCCGCAGGUGCGUGGUCGACGUCGCGCCCCAGCCUCGCUGCGAUGGGGGUUCCCAAGAGGAAGGCCCGGGGCGGCCAGGACGGGGCGGCCUUGCCGGCGGGAGCAGCCAAGCGGGCCCGCAAGGAAGAGCUCACGGGCGUGCAGUUCAAGGCUCAGCUGAGGGACCCGCAGAGCGCCGCUGCGGCCUUGGAGGCGUUCGUGUCCACUGCCAGGAAGCUGCCGAGCGAGGACGUGUAUGAUGUGGUGGAAGGGUACAUAAAGAUCUCCGUCGAGUGCGCCGAGGUCUUCCAGCUCCUGAGUGGGGAGAAGCGGCCCGAAAGUGAAAUGCUGCUAAUAUUUCAAGUUUUGGAAGCCAUCCUGCUGAGGACAGCCAGCGAUCUGUCGCAUUUUCACGUCGCGGGCACCCACAUCGUGAAGAAGCUGCUGAACAACCACAUGAAGCUCAUCUGUGAGUCCCUGUACGCCUCGGGGUACAGGAUGGCUCGAGCCUGCCUCAACAUGAUGGCCGCCAUGGUGACCCAGGGUCCUGAAGCUGCCAGGGACGUCUGCGGCCAUUUUGAUUUGAAUAAAAAGACCUUGUACACCCUGGUGACCAAGAGGGAUUCAAAGGGAGUGCCCGACGUCCGGCUGGCCUACAUCCAGUUUGCUCUGUCCUUCUUGAUUGCUGGUGACGACAGCACUAUAGCACAGGUGCUGGAGCUGAAAGAGUUUAUUCCUUGCAUUUUUAGCUCAGGCAUAAAGGAAGAUAGGAUUUCUACCAUCAAUAUUUUGUUGUCCACAUUGAAAACAAAGGUAGUUCACAGUAAAAGUAUCACAAAGACCCAGAAGGUGCAUUUCUUUACCGCACAGUUGUUGAGCCACAUAGCGUCUCUCUACGCCUGGAACGGGAUUGUCGACGUGAGCCCGGAGAACACAGAGAUGUCUGCUGAGGAGGCGGGGAAGGCCAUGGUGCGGGAGCUGGUGCACAGCUUCCUGCUGGAUCUGUGCUGUUCCCUCAAGCACGGCAUUAACUUCUAUGAUGCGUCUUUGGGCACCUCUGGCAGAGGAGGAAACCUGACCCUCCUGCACUUCCUGCUGGGGUUGAAAACCGCCGUGGACGACGAGCUGGUGGCCGAGCUGGUGGUGAACAUCCUCCGAGUGUGCCCGGACUUGCUGAACAAGUACUUCAAGGAAGUGACGUUCUCCUUCCUGCCCAGAGUGAAGGCCACGUGGCAGAACAACAUCAAACUCCUGAACAAGAUCUACGAGGCCCAGCCGGAGAUUUCCCGGGCGUUUCAGACCCGAGAGUUUAUCCCCUUGCCGCGGCUCCUGGCCAUGGUGAUGGUGACCACUGUGCCCCUGGUCUGCAACAAGAUCAUGUUCACCCAAGCAUUAAAUUUGGACAGCAAGUCUGUGAAGCACACAGCUUUAUCCCUUGUUUCUGUCAUUUUGAAAAGAGCAUUAAAAACCAUUGACCACUGCCUGGACAAAGAGGCGUGGCAGGAGCCAGGCGUGUACACGGCCGCAAUGAUGGAUGAGUUUGUGCGGCUCUUCAGAGAGGCCCUGAGCAAGAUCUUGCCAGACCUGAACACUAUUGUGUGGGUCUGGCAGUCCCUGAAAAAACAAGAGACAAAACAGGAUGACCAGAAGGGGAAGAGAGCGGGUGACAAGGCUGUGGCGGCCCGUGAGGCUCAGUGCGAUGAUGCGGAAACCAUUCUCUUGAAAGCCGUCCUGCUCCAGGUCAUCUGCCUCUACCAGAAGGUGGUACCCCACAUGGUCACUCAGUACAACUUUGACUUCAGCAAGCUCCUGAAAGGGAUCAUCUCUGAGCAGGGCCUUGGGGAGGAGGCGCCCCCCAUUCUGCAGCACCACAUGCUGAAGGUGGCCCUGGAGCUGCCUGCCAACAAGUUUCUGUGGCUGAAGGCACAGGAAGGCCCAGACACAGAAAGUGUGGCGGAGCGAUCCGUGUUCUACCUGCUGAUGAAGAUGUUUGUGACCAGUAGCCACUUGCAGCUGAAGUCGUCGACCCAGCUUCUGAUCAUGAAGAUCCUGCGGGACACAGGGGUGUUUGAGCACACCUGGAGGGAGCUGGAGCUCUGGCUGGAGCAUUUGGACAACACGGCGGAAGAGCGCAGAGAGGCCGUGAUUCAGUUUCUGGAACGCGUCUUGUUGACUUUGGUGGCGAAUCCGUAUUCCUACACAGACAAAGCAUCUGACUUUGUCCAAGAAGCCAGCACGCUGCAGGCCACCAUGACGAAGCAAGACGCCGACGACGUCAGCAUCCCUGUCUCCCACAUCGAUGAUGUUCUCGACAUGGUGGACGUCCUGGUGGAGGGCAGCGAAGGCUUGGAUGAAGAAAUAGGGUUCCUGUUAAACGAAGACAUGAUCCUGCUCACUUUUCCGUUCAGUGCGGUGGUUCCCGCAGCCCUGGAAGCCAGGAAUAAGCUGCUCCUUGGGCAGGAGAAUGAAGCAGGGGAAGGCAUCGUGGCGUAUCUGACCGCAGUGCUGACCGACCUCCUCCACUCGCAGAGGGACCCCCUGGCCCUGUGUCUUCUGCUGCAGGCUUAUGACAAGUUUGAACCUCCAGGCCCGCCCUGCUGCCAUCAGCUCUCCCGGUUUCGCAGAUACUACAGCCUGUGGAUCCCCGAGCAAGCCCGAGAGGCUGGGCCGCUGCAGGUGUCGGAUGGCCCUGUGCCCCACACUACGCCCUUGGCCUCCAGCUUCCCUGCCUUGCUGCAGGCAGCCUACGAGAGCCAGAUGCUGCGUGAUGAGCAUGUACAGGCGCAGCUGCAGGCCGCCCUCCCGGGCCUCCCCCUGCGCCAGAUCCCACGCUCGGCCAAGCAAGUGCUGCUGUACUUGCGGAGCACCGUGGACAACUUCGGUCAGCUGGGCAGAAGCGCGGGGCCUCCCCUGCUGCUGCUCUUCCUGGACCUCCUCAGGCGCCUGGUUGUCCACUGUGAGCAGCUGGAUGCCCAGAACCGGCAGAAGUGCGAGGCCGCCCGGGCCGAAUCCGACCUCUUUCUGGACAUGGAGUCCAUGGCCGCGCUGGAGUUGGCCAAUGACCAGACCCUGGAGGAGGUGCUGGUGGCCGUCCUCGGACACCCCACGCUGGAGGGCUGGUUCCUGGCCCUGGAGCAGCAGGCCCUGCCCCCACACACCCUCAGCCCCGUCCUUGUGAAGCUGCUCGCAGCCCACUUCAGUGCCGGGGUCCUUCAGCUGCUGGGGUCGUGUGCCCCGAUCCUGCAGAGCAGGGCUCAGCUGGGCCUCCUUUCCAAGUACUCGGAGGCCAUCACUCGAAGUGUGCUCAAAGAGCUGCGAGCGAGGAGGGCAGGCCCAGCCCCGUCGUCACCCAAGACCCCGCCUCAGCUGGAGGCCCUGCGGGAGCUGCACCCGUACAUGGAAGGCACCCAGCUCCGCGAGGUCACGCUGGCCCUGUUGGGCCUGCCCGAGGCCCAGCUGCUGGCCCGGCGCCCCACAGAGUCCGCCGGGGAGGAGAGGCGCCUGAGCGCUCUGGGGAGGACCCUGGUGCAGCUGCUCACCAGCAGCCGCCCGGACCGGCUGCAGAGUGGCGAGCUCCUCUGGUCCUCGGAGUACGUGAGAGGCCUGGGGGCUCUGCUCCCCGCGCUGGCCGUGGAUGAGCUGGACGCCGUGUUCCUCCGCGCUCUGCAGAGAGACCCGGAGCUGGCGCCCGUGGCCGGGGCCGAGCUGCUGCACUACUGCCUGGCCCGGCGGACACAGGCCGCCCUCGGCAUCGCCGCGCUGCUCCUCCAGCAGAGCUGCACCCACCUGCUGGGCUUUGAGCUGUGGUGCAGGCAGCCCGGCGCCGGGCUCGGCCUGCAAGAGGACCCGGAUGACUUCCUGCCCCUCGUCCACGAGUACCUCCGGUGCCGCACGCGGGGGCUCUUUGCACGCCCGGCAGGAGUGUCCUCCGCUGUGGUUCCUGUCCUGAGGAAGGCGCUGUGGAGGCGGCUGCAAGACAGGCUUCUCAGUGCCGACGACUCCCCCGCGUCGGACCUGCACCACGAGGUCCUGGCCCAGCUGGUCCCGUUCGCGAGAGCCAAGGAUCUCCGCGUUCUCAUGGGCCAGCUGCCCGGCUUGCUGCAGGCUCCGGGCACUCACAAGGGCUGGAGUGUGGCAGACUCCAUCUCGGCGGCCCUGGAGGGCUCGGCAGAAGAGCUGGCUGCCUGGAGGAGGACCCUGCUGGAGUCCUGCAUCAAGUGGCUGCUCGCGUCUUUCAGCGGGAGCCCCCAGGGUGAUGACGGCGCCCGGGGCCAGGAGAAGCAGAUGCUGCUCAGACUGAAUGAGUUGCUGCAUGCAUGUAACGAAGUUGAUCCCGGGGACUGGCAGAAAUUUGUGAAGACGGGACUCAAGUCUCGAUACCAGGACCACACGUUUCUGAAGACCCUCUGUGCGGCCACCCAGCUCCUGUACGCCCCCGGAAGCCCCGGGUGCACGACGCUCAUCCAGCUCCCGCUGGUCCACACCAUGCUCACCCAGCACUCCCUGUUCUUGCCCACGCUCCUGAAGUCUGAAGAAGAGGACGUCCCUGACACCCAAGUGAAAGAAGCCCUGGUGGACCUGAUGCUGAUGGUGGUGAGGAUGUGUCCCUCUGUGUGUGAGAGCAGCCACUUCGCCGUGCUUCUCGGGGCCUACGGUGCCACCCUCAGUGUCCUAGACCAGAAAAUUUUACUUCUGCUCCGGGCGUAUGAAAAGAACAACCUCAGCCUCAUCGACUUCAGGGUGCUGCUGUGGGGCCCGGCGGCCGUGGAGCACCACAAGACGUGCCGCAGCCUGGGCAAGUCACUGUGGCAGCAGCCGAGCCCCGGGGACAUCCUGCGCCUGCUGGAUCGCGACCGGGUCUUGCACACCAUCCUGCACUUCCCCCAGCGCCGGAAGCUGCUGCCGCCCGAGGACGAGCAGGAGCCUGUGUUUGAAGACAAGAACGUGAGGGUGGAUCUCGGUGGCCUCUACGACCCCUGCUUUCUCCUCCAUCUCUUCAGUGAACUGACCAGGCCCGAAUUUGUGGUGGAUUGUCGUAAAUUUUUGGAUUCAAACGCCCUGGGCCUAACGGUCAUGGCCCUCAGCAGCUACGACCCCCAGAUGCGAGCCGCGGCCUACUACGUCCUGGCGGCCUACUACUCACACCUGGAGGGGGCCCGGUUCCGAGAGCAGCCCCAGGUUCUUUACCUGAUGGAUGUGGUCCGGAACGGGAUUCGAACUCAGAACAUGAGACUCACCUUCACCCUGGCUCUCUUCAUUGCCAAAGCAGCCCUGCAGAUUUUGAAACCAGAGGAGCACAUGUACUUGAAGAUCAGCAAGUUCCUGCUGUCGCACGAGUACCUGAACAUGGACAAAGUGCCAGGCUUCUACCAGUUCUUCUACAGCUCUGACUUCCAGCACAAGCAGGAGCAGGAGUGGGUGCUGGGGGUCCUGCGCGAGGGCAUCCGUGACAAGCACUGCUACGAGCUGUACGCCCGGCGGGGGGUCUUCCGCAUCCUGCUGGCCUUCUUCUGCAGCCCGCUGUGCGACCACGCGGCGCAGAACUGGAUUCUAGAAAUCCUGCAGAGUGCUGCGCAGGUCGCCAGGUCUGCCUAUGAGGUCAUCCGGGACUACAGCCUCCUGACCUGGAUUUUACACAUCCUCGAGAACAAGUUCCUGGAGACCCCGCUGCUGUCCAGCGUGAUCUCCUUGCUGCACACGCUGUGGGUGACCAACCUGGGAGACAAGGGAGCGGAGGGCGACAAGCAGCCUGCUGGCCAGCCUGGGCCCCACGAGCCCCCCAAGAUGCUCGCCCUGCACCUGGUCAGCGAGUUCCUUUACGUCCUCAUCGCACUCCUGAAGCACUUGAGGCCCACCCUGGCCCCCGCCCAGCUGACCAGCUUCUUCGGGACCCUCGACUCGGUGCUGAGGUACCAGGCCACCGUGCUGCAGGCCUUCAGGGACAUGGACCGCUUCACCGUGAACGAGACCGUGCUCUCUGCCAGGGACGUCCUCGUCCUCCUGCACAAGUGGAGCCUCAUCGACGAGGACGCCAGGCUCCAGGAAGACCUGAGGGCGGUCGUCGAGCGGUGCCAAGUCCGGGAGCUCGUGAAAAUGCUCAAGGAAAAGAGCAAGCCCGCUGGGCCAGCCCGAGCCAAAGGCCCGCGCGGCCGGAAGAGGAGGCUGGGGGAGGCGGAGGAGACGGCCGACCCUGAGCUGAAGGCGUCCAGCUUGGAGACGUGCCGCGGCCACCUGCGCUCCAUACUGACCCACUGGGGGCCGGUGGUCCCCGCCGCCCCUGCCCAGGAGCCCCCCGAGAGCGAAGCCCCGCCCGCCGCGUACGCCACGGCCGCCCUGGUGCUCAGCUGGGUGCUGCGCUCGCUGGCCGGGCGCCCGCUCAGCAGGCCGGAGGCCGCGGGACUCCUGGGCUGGCUCCGGAGCCACGUUCUGCCACACCCGGCGGUGGUGGCCAGCCUGCUCGGGGACAGCGCCGUGAAGAGCGGCCUGUUUGUGCUGUACAGCCAGCUCUGUGGGGCCGAGGGCCUGGCCGGGCCCGCGCAGGACGUGGCCUGCCUCUUCAACGCCGUCAUGCUGCAGCUGCUGGCAGCCGGGACCACCACAGCCAGCCCUUGGCAUGCGGAAGUCGAGGCGCUGUGCGCUUCCUGUCUGCCCGGGAAGGACGAGGCCUCUCGAGCCUCUGCGGCCUUCCUGGUGUCCCUGUACGUCAAGGACCUGUGGCUGGGGGCCCCGCAGCCCGACACCCUCCGCGCCCACGUCCGCAUGGUCUGUGAAGCCGCAGAGCGCACCCCGGGCGCCGGCGAGGAGGCCAUCGUGGCGCUCUGCACGGGCCUCGCCGCCUCUCGGCCCGGGCGCCAGGGUCUGCGGGACUGACAGGGAAGCCACGGCCACGGCGGCGGCAGGUGCAGCGCGGGGACUGAGUUCCUGGACAAGGCCAGCUCUCUGCUGUGGCCUGGGAAGGCAGUGGAGGAUGGCCCCAGUCCUUGGGCCCCUGCACCCACGUGGGAGACCUGGAAGAAGCUCCUGGCUCCUGGCUUCAGAUCAGCUCAGCUCUGGCCAUUGCAACCAUUUGGGGAAAUGAACCAGUGGAUGGAAGACCUCUCUCUCCUUCCCUCUCUCUCUCGUUCUGUUUCCCUCUAACUCUUUCAAAUAAAUUAACAAUAAAUCUUUAAAAAAAAAAAAAAAAAGUCUGUGAGGACGAUGCUGGGUGUGACUCAGGUCCCUGGCUGCAGCUGGGCUGGCGGUGUGGAUACUACUCCAUCUUGGGCUGUGGGCUCUGCAGGCCUCCCACGUGUCCUAACCACACAGGCACAGUUGGGCCAGGCGAGCCCAGGGGCAUGGGAUGUUCAGAAGAGGGUCAGCAUUGUGGUUAAUCACCACCUGCAACACUGGCAUCCCAUUGCACAGUGCCAGUUUGAGUCCUGGCUGCUCUGCUUCCGAACCAGCUCCCUGCUGACGCGGCUGGGGAGGCAGCAGAGGACGGCCCAGGUGCUUGGUCCCCUGCCACCCACAUGGGAGAUCCAGAUGGACUCCUUGGCUCCUGGUCUCAGCCUGGCCCUGGCCAGCCCUGCCUGUUGUGGCCAUCUGGGGAGUGA